rnacentral:rRNA from 1 species
AGUGAACGCUGGCGGUAGGCCUAACACAUGCAAGUCGAACGGCAGCACAGUAAGAGCUUGCUCUUACGGGUGGCGAGUGGCGGACGGGUGAGGAAUACAUCGGAAUCUACUUUUUCGUGGGGGAUAACGUAGGGAAACUUACGCUAAUACUGCAUACGACCUACGGGUGAAAGCAUGGGAUCUUCGGACCUUGCGCGAUUGAAUGAGUCGAUGUCGGAUUAGCUAGUUGGCGGGGUAAAGGCCCACCAAGGCGACGAUCCGUAGCUGGUCUGAGAGGAUGAUCAGCCACACUGGAACUGAGACACGGUCCAGACUCCUACGGGAGGCAGCAGUGGGGAAUAUUGGACAAUGGGCGCAAGCCUGAUCCAGCCAUACCGCGUGGGUGAAGAAGGCCUUCGGGUUGUAAAGCCCUUUUGUUGGGAAAGAAAAGCAGCAGGUUAAUACCCCGCUGUUCUGACGGUACCCAAAGAAUAAGCACCGGCUAACUUCGUG